rnacentral:rRNA from 1 species
GUUGACCUCGGAUCAGGUAGGAAUACCCGCUGAACUUAAGCAUAUCAAUAAGGCG